rnacentral:lncRNA from 1 species
CUUCCUUUUACCUGCCCUUCUCUCACGAUUGAAACAUCUUCCAGGUACGGAGUCUUAGUCCACCCUAUAGGUGCAUGGGAACCACGGAAGCAAAGGGGUGGGAAGAAUCUCCCUUUCCUGGCCAUCCUCUCCUCUCCAUGUCCACAAAGCAAAACCACCAGUCAGCAGCUCAAAGCAACUAUCCCUAUUUUGGAAACUGGGGACACGUUUAGGAGCACUUCCUAAACUAGGAGAGGCAGUGACCUGAGAAGCUACGUAUUGACACGGCGCUACCACGGGUGGAGGAGCCUGCAUUGCUGAAUCACAGGAUGAAGGCGAAUCCCUGCCAGCCUCCAUCCAUCUCUGGGGUGCUUAGCAGAAUCCUCAGCUCACAAGAUGAAUAAAUGCAGACUAAAUGAUGCACAAAUAAUCUUCACACACAACCAUCAACACAUGGAAAGACUGCAGGACGGCCAGAUCCCAAGCUAACAAACAGGGGAAGAUGAUGUUUCAAAUGAUCAUCUGAAUGCUGGGUUUCCACCUUCCACCAGGAAGUCAUAUGGUAAAAAGAAAAAAAAUGGCAUUAUGAUACAAACAGAAAAUGUAACAGUGGAGUGCAGAAAAUACAAAAAAAAGGAAAAAAUAAAUAGAAAAUCUUCAAAGAGGCAAUCUGUUUAAAUCUUCAAGAACUGGAAACAGUAAAAGUGAACAGGUUUUUAUUGAGCAUGUCAAUAAAAUGUUUGCAUAAGACUUUACAAGUGCUUUAUUUCAUGAGGUUUUUAUUAUUGAUCAAAGCAACGAAAAUGAACGGGAAAUUCAUUCUCAUCAAAUCUACAACUUGGGAGGAGGUCCGAUGAAAUCCCUGGAAGCUCACAUUUUUUAUAAAUGAAGAGUUAAUUACCGGUGGGAACAAUGAGAACCUCUGUGGUUCUUCCUGAUGCUUGGAUCCUCCCAGACCUCUGUUUCCAGUCUCCUUCUCCACAACCUGGCCUAUGCGAUGCAAGUGGUCUAACUGAUCUCCGCCUAGGGAAGGAUCCUUCGGCAACUUGCCGACAAGAGAAGCAGCGAUGCCCGAGGCAGGUCCAAAGGAGCACUGACUGCGUGGGAUUGAUUACACUGGAGGAACAAAAGGUCCUGUGGCUACACAAGUUUGAAAAGCAGAAGGUACAAUCAUUGUAUUUCUGGCAGACUUUUCAAAGACUUUAAUAUAUGAAUCCCUCAUAUGAAUCUCCUGGAGGAUUAUAUAAUAGGCAGAUCUCCCAGCCAUUUUCACUGAACAGUUCUUAGAAUUGGUAUCCUUGAAAAAUUUCACCUAACCACUCAAUAUGGUAGCCACUAGUCCUGGGUGGCUAUUGAGCACCUGAAAUUUGCCUAGUCUGAAUUAAGACACAUUCUAAGAAUAAAGCACACUGUAUUUCAAAGGCAGUACAAAAAUAAAAAAGAAUGUAAGCUGUCUCAAUAAUAAUUUUUGUAUUGAAUACGUGUUGAAAUGAUGUUAUUUUUGAUAUAUUGAGUGAAAUAAAUUGUAUUGCUAAAAUGAAUUUUACUUGUUUUGUUUUACUUGUGCAAUGAGGUUACUAGAUAAUAUAAAAUUCUGUCUGUGGUUUGCAUUAUUUUUCUAGGAUGAUAAUGAGCUAGAGGACAGCAUGUAUGUAAGACCUUCAGGAUUUAGAGUCUGGCUAUCUCUCCAGCUCUCUGUCUAAAUACUGUCUUGCUUUGGGUUCCCAUCUCUCCAGAUCGCUUAAAGAAACCCCUCCCUGUCCCUGCCAACAACCACCACAGCAGACAGCCUGACAUCUCUAUCUCUUGCUCAUUUCAACUUAUGGGAUGACAUCUGGCCAACACUUAUUCAGCCUUCAGGUAUUAAGCAACAAUCACCCACACAGGAAGCCUAUCUGGAAAUCCAGGCACACCUAUCCCCUGGCCUGAU